rnacentral:rRNA from 1 species
UAAGGAAUAUUGGUCAAUGGACGCAAGUCUGAACCAGCCAUGCCGCGUGAAGGAUGAAGGUCCUCUGGAUUGUAAACUUCUUUUAUCUGGGACGAAAACGGGAUUUUUAUCUCAAUUGACGGUACCAGAGGAAUAAGCACCGGCUAACUCCGUGCCAGCAGCCGCGGUAAUACGGAGGGUGCGAGCGUUAUCCGGAUUUACUGGGUUUAAAGGGUGCGUAGGUGGGCUUAUAAGUCAGUGGUGAAAUCUCCGAGCUUAACUUGGAAACUGCCGUUGAUACUAUAGGUCUUGAAUUAACUGGAGGUAAGCGGAAUAUGUCAUGUAGCGGUGAAAUGCUUAGAUAUGACAUAGAACACCGAUUGCGAAGGCAGCUUACUACAUAUAAAUUGACGCUGAGGCACGAAAGCGUGGGGAGCAAACA